ACUUUUCUAAUACAACCAGUAUAAAUGACUUCCAAUCAUUCAAUUUCAGCUAAAACCUGAAGAAAAGUA
rnacentral:tRNA from 1 species